GAUGAACGCUGGCGGCGUGCCUAACACAUGCAAGUCGAGCGGCAGCGAGGGGUGCUUGCACCCUGUCGGCGAGCGGCGGACGGCUGAGUAACGCGUGGGAACGUGCCCCAAAGUGAGGAAUAACUGCCCGAAAGGGUAGCUAAUACCGCAUAUUAUCUUCGGAUCAAAGGAUUUAUCCGCUUUGGGAGCGGCUCGCGUCGGAUUAGGUAGUUGGUGAGGUAAUGGCUCACCAAGCCGACGAUCCGUAGCUGGUCUGAGAGGAUGACCAGCCAGACUGGAACUGAGACACGGACCAGACUCCUACGGGAGGCAGCAGUGAGGAAUCUUCCACAAUGGGCGAAAGCCUGAUGGAGCAACGCCGCGUGCAGGACGAAGGCCUUCGGGUUGUAAACUGCUUUUAUAAGUGAGGAAUAUGACGGUAACUUAUGAAUAAGGAUCGGCUAACUACGUG
rnacentral:rRNA from 1 species